GACGAACGCUGGCGGCGCGCCUAACACAUGCAAGUCGAACGGAGUUAAGAGAAGCUUGCUUUUCUUAACUUAGUGGCGAACGGGUGAGUAACGCGUGAGUAACCUGCUCUGGAGUGGGGGACAACAGUUGGAAACGACUGCUAAUACCGCAUAAGCCCACGGAUCCGCAUGGAUCUGCGGGAAAAGGAUUUAUUCGCUUCAGGAUGGACUCGCGUCCAAUUAGCUGGUUGGUGAGGUAACGGCCCACCAAGGCGACGAUUGGUAGCCGGGCUGAGAGGUUGAACGGCCACAUUGGGACUGAGACACGGCCCAGACUCCUACGGGAGGCAGCAGUGGGGGAUAUUGCACAAUGGGGGAAACCCUGAUGCAGCGACGCCGCGUGGAGGAAGAAGGUUUUCGGAUUGUAAACUCCUGUCGUUAGG
rnacentral:rRNA from 1 species